AUUGAAUUUCAAGAAGUGAACUUUUUCCUUUGCGUGAAAUUCCUCUAGUUUCUUUUGUUUGCAUGUCAGCAGCAACGAUAGCGAGUGGAUAUCUGGCAUUUGUAAUGUCCCCGACUGGAAGCAGCUAACAUUGCGACACACAGUCCUCCUCCCCGGGCCGGGAGAGCGAGGGGGAGAGAGGGGGAGACUCCCGGUGCAAAGGGAGGGAAGGGGGACCGUUGAGGAAGGAGUGGCGGUUAUGUGGCAAAACUCUCAACCUCUCUGAAGAGUUGUGUCCUCGCUUGUGUAUUUGUGGAGAAAGGGGCCGUCGGCUGAGUUUAAACACUACUGAGUCCAAGUAACGCUGCGCCGACCUGCAGCUCCACCAGGAAGUCUCCUUUAUUUAACGGAGCUCGCUGCUUCAAUCCAACCUACUAGAUAUCGUUAUUACUACUGCCGCUAUCAAAACAAUGCACGAAGACCUUUUAAGAAAUAUGCGGGGUUUUGCCCUUUUACAUUUUUUUCAAAAUAAGUUAUUUCCACCCCAAACUUUAUCCAAAGUAAUUAAAGAUUAAAUGAUCGACUUUGAUCAAAGAAAACCACAUAUUUAAUCUGACCAGAAAUGUAGCUUUCUGUACCUGAGUUUUUGUAAUAUUCAGUAUUUGCAGCAGUCCUGCACGAAAUGAGGAAAAUAUACGAUAAUGAUAUUUACUUCCAAUGUAGUUAAAGUGUACUUGGGUCUGCCUUUCUGGUGAUUUCAGUAUUAUUUAACAUUCUUUCAGUCAUUUGAACAGUGAAGUGAUCACAAACGAGACCAAAAAAACGUUGUAUAAAUAUACAUGUAAAACAUACAUAUGUAUAAUUGUUAGUCACAAGCAAUAGAGUUCAAAAUUUGACUUUGCAAUGGAAAUUUCAAAAAAGAACAACAUAUUUGUGCAACCUUACUACGGACACAUUUCAGUUAGGGCUUGAAAAGAAUUGCGCUUUGCCCACUGACUUUUAUUUGGCUUUGUAAAUGUUUGAAAUGGUGUUUCAAAGCCAGUCUCUGAUUAUGUCCCUGUCACAAAAACAUCCUAUUCACAGACGUACACAUUGAUUCCUUUGAUCCGGCUGCUUUCCAACUCCUUUCUGUGAACUGGGACAAAGGUGCAACAAUGGCACCUGUGCCGCUGUUCAGUUGAUAUUUCCAAAGUUCUCCUUUUUAUAUAUAUAUAUAUAUAUAUAUA
ensembl:lncRNA